CUGGAGCAGAACAGAUGUCUGUAUUGACCAGCAAAUCCCUCUUCGAUGAGCUCCUUUUCACUGAGCAUUUUUCAUUUUGCAGGUUACCUUUCUCUUGCAUCUCCAACAUUCUCCAAAUUAACUUCACCCUCUGCCCUCCCCAGGAAGUCCAGACCUCUGUGCUCUGAGUUAGUAGACAACUCUGAAUCCUGCUCUGGGUCCACACCACACACUAGGCUAAGGAAGAAGUUAAAGCACAGAAAAACGUUACCUUCAUUUGGGCAAGUUGCUGUUGCUGCUGCUGCUGUUGCAGUCGUCGUAAAGCUUCCUGCUGUUGCUGCCUCUGUCUCAUUAUUUCCUUUUGGCGCUGGAGUUCCAGCUCCUUGCGCUUUCGCUCCUCUUCUUCGAGCCGUUGUCUGGCUGCCUCUUCUUCCAUCCGUAGCCGACUCUCCUCAAGUCGCCGUUGAGCUUCCUCUUCCUCACGUGCCCACUUGGCAGCCUCCUCUUCCUGUUUACGAAUUAAUUCUUCUCGCUGCCGUCUUUCUUCCUCUUCUCUUCUUCUCUCUUCCAACCUCCUAAGUGCUUCCUCCUGUUGUUGUCUUUCCUCUUCCUCCCGCUGCCGUCUUAGUGCAAUUUCCUGCUCUCGUUGUCGCCUCAAGGCUUCCUCUUGCUUCCUGCGAGCCAGUUCUUCUUCUUCCCGCCGUUUCCUCUCAUCUUCCUGCUGCCUCCUAAGUAGUUCUUCUUGUUGUCUCCGAAGUUCCUCCUGCCUUUUCCUCUCUUCUUCCUCUCGUUUGGCCCUCAUUUCCACUUCUCUCCUCUCUUGCUCUAGCUUUGCAGCUUUGGCCUUCUCAAGCUGCUGAAGUUGUUCUAGAGCUGGUCCCUGAGCUGCAGUAUCGAGGGGGAGAUCCCAGACACUGCUUCCUUCCCAGACUGUAGGCUGUGAAGCUGACUGAAGUUCCCAUAUUGAGCCAGUGUCCGGCACUGACA
rnacentral:lncRNA from 1 species